AUCACCUUUAGCUUUCAAUGUGAGGAAUCUAGAGUGUCACAGUAAACAGUGGUCACAUAAAUAAAUUAAAAGGGCAUACCAAUCACCCAUAGUCAUGAUCGUGACAAAGGGAUAUGGUUCCAAGCCAUUAGCCCUUGCAACAAGUAGAAGUCAAGGUUGCUGUUUUGUUCGCUACGAUACAUCAUUAUCUUAAGAAUCGUAAGUCCUGUUAAAAAACAUUAAGCAUCGAAUAACGAAUUGCAGAGAGGCCAGAAGGAAAUUGAACUAUCUCUAUUGAUGAUGUAUUGCACCUUGUCUCUUGCUUGGUGGAGGAAAUACCACAAAU